UCUCUCUCUCUCUCUCUCUCUCUCUCUCUCUCUCUCUCUCUCUCUCUCUCUCUCUCUCUCUCUCUCUCUCUCUCUCUCUCUCUCUCUCUCUCUCCGUUUAUUCCUCUUCGCAGAAUCUCCAUCAAGUUUUUUAUGCUUCAACACUUAAUUUCUUACUUGUUCCUCUUAUUUCCAGGAGGCUGCUAGAUUUUUGCAAUCAAAAAAGGUAUUGAUCAGGAGGUCGAAUACAAGCCUCUACCUGCAGGCCCAAGCACUAGCACUCGUUCAAAGACCAAGGAAUCUGAAAAGGCAAAGGUGAAUACUCAGUCAAUCCUUACUUGACUCGUGAUUUUUAUAACUGGCAUCUGUAACAUUCCCAAGUCUCUAUUCUUGAGAAUAUUUACUGGAAGGAAGUUGGUGUACUUUUUGUAGUGUGGAUCGUUGUCCUUGGACUGCAUAUCACCAAGGUUUUAAUCAGUUUUGUGCAUACUUUCUUUCUAGAAGUACUCUAUGAUUAGUUUUCCUUUGCUUCUCUCAUCAAUGAGCUAGAUUGAUGGAUUUCUCUUGUGAUGAAUACAAAAUCAUACAACUACUUGUUCGGUGCUGUAUUGGGUACUAAACAAGCCUCUACCUGCAGGCCCAAACACUAGCACUAGUUCAGAGACCAAGGAAUCUGAAAAAGCAAAGGUUAGAAUACUCAGUCAAUCCUUACUUGACUCGUGAUUUUUAUAACUGACAUUUGUAACAUUUCCAAGUCUCUAUUCUUGAGAAUAUUUACUGGAAGGAAGUUGGUGUACUUUCUGUAGUGUGGAUCGUUGUCAUUGGACUGCAAAUCGCUAAGGUUUUAAUCAGCUUUGUGCAUAUUUUCUUUCUAGAAGUACUAUAUGAUUAGUUUUCCUUUGCUUCUCGCAUCAAUGAGCAGAUUGAUGGAUUUCUCUUGUGAUGGAUACAAAAUCAUACAAUUACUUGUUCAGUGCUGUAUUGGGUACUAAACCUAUUGCAGGUACCUUUAAACAACUUCAACGAGAAUAGAAGAGCUAUGGGCUUGGAUGCUAAGAUUCUUGAAAACUAUUGCUUGAACAUCUUGGUUAUGGUCUAUUUUCCUUUUAUCAUCCUCAGAUCCCAAUAACUGUUGGAGUGACUUCAUAUGAAGCCCUGAACCUGUACAAAGGGCAGAGAGUGAUAGCAUCAAAGGGAGAAGCAGACACAAAUUGGCGAGUGCACCAGCUGGUUCUUUAUUGUGCAUGUGGAAUAUUAGCCGGCGUAGUCGGAGGGUUGCUUGGUCUUGGUGAAGGAUUCAUUUUGGGUCCACUUUUUCUGGAGUUGGGAGUCUCUCCUCAGUUGAUCUGCUAAAAUUUUGCAUUAGCGGGCCGAGCUCGAGUCAAGCUUCGCCAUUUGCUGACUCUGGUAUGCUACAUCUUGAUUUUGGCACUUUCAAUUCUGUUCUUGUGGUCAAACACAUCCACCUUCAUCCAAAAGUAAGGCUACUCUUGUUGUGGUUGUUUAAUUAUUUCAAUUUCUCUAUUUUGACUCGUUUUGCUCGUACAUUUAUUUGAUCAUAUAGACGUCCACCACACAUUCCAAAAUUCCAUAUCCCAGAGGAACCACUUUUAGAGUUUACUGCAGCUCUGAGGAUAGAGAUCAA